AUUUAGGUAUACAAACAGCAUGUCACCAUACACGCUACGCGUUUCGUCCGACUUUCAGGGAUGAUAAAGUGCAAUCAAAAAUAGCACUGCUAUUUUUGAUUGCACUUUAUCACACCAAGUCCCUGAGGAAUUCCAAUUUUAGGACGAAACGCGUAGGACGUGUAUGGUGACAUGCUGUUUGUUUUAUACCU